rnacentral:lncRNA from 1 species
GACACCCUCUGGCCGCAGCCGCCUCAGGUGCGUCAUCUUUCUGAAAAGUUCUGUGGAGCGGGAGGUCGCCAGGCCUUCUGCGAUUGCUGAACCGCUGGGUGUCCGGGGUCCGGGGGAAGAUGUUUUUGACCAGUAUCUUGGAUUUUUCCUUCUUCUAGAUUUGGAAUUCUACACUAAAGUCAUCAUGGGCAUUUUCCAGAGAUUGAUGAAAAAUAAGGAACUCAUUCCUUUGGCGUUUUUUAUAAGCGCGGCAGCCACUGGAGCCUCAUCUUUUGCUUUGUAUGCUUUGAAAAAAACCGACGUGGUUGUGAGGCUGGAGAGUAGAGGUUAACAUGUCUUGCUUUCUGUUUUUAAAGCUUUUAACCAUCAACCAGGAAUGGAAGCCUGUUGAGGAGCUGCAGAGAGUCCGGAGAGCGACCAGAUGAUUACUCGCUGCUCCUUUCUUCCAAAGAACACUCUAUGAAUCUAGUGGAAACACUUCUGCACAAACUCGAUUUUGAUGCCAGUGUGCGGAAAUGCUUCUGCUACAUUUUUAGGGUUUGCCUGCAUUCUUUGGAUCCUGCAUAAGCAAGCGAAGGUAGCACAUAGUCUAAAAUGGUUUUUCGUGUUUAUUGGUGUAAAUUUCAAUUUUACAGUUGAAAUUUUAUGUUUGUGAUGGUUGGAUAUUUUCCUUGAAAUGUAUAAACAUGUAAAAAUUAGAUUACUGCCUGUAAUAAAUAAUUAGAUGGCUAUCUGUAAAACGUAUGACCUGUGCAAGAGAUAUCAAAAAUUACUUAACUUUAAAAGUGGAGGGGGCAUCUUUUUAUGGGAACAAGCACAUUUUGAAGUAUAAAACUUCAACUUUUAAAUAUCAAGUGCAUAUUUCUGAGUUUUAUUUCCAAGUCCAUUCACUCUCACCCCAGAAACUUCUUGAGCAUGUAUUGUUUGCAGUAAAGAAAAAGGGUGCAAAGUUAGCAAGGGUUUGGAUAUGGUCCGUUUGGAGCAUGGAGACAGCUGAGAGGGCUGCCUGGGAAUGGCUGGUGACCAGGAACCUGAGGCAUGCAGAGACCAGCCCUGCAGAUCUCCGUGGGACUGCUGCUCCCCAGGAGGAUGGAGAGAGGAGCCUGGGGAGCCCUGGCCAGCACCCAGUACAGUCUGACCAAACAGAGACCAGGCGAUUGUUUAAUUCUUUCCAGAAUGUGCCCCCAACCCCAUUCCUUGCCGACUCCUAAAAAUGGGACGAAGUAGGAAGUUCCUUUUCAUUGACUGUAAAAUA